rnacentral:rRNA from 1 species
UACAGAGGUGGCAAGCGUUGUUCGGAAUUACUGGGCGUAAAGGGCGCGUAGCGGCCGCCUAAGUCAGACGUGAAAUCCCCAAGCUUAACUUGGGAACUGCGUCUGAUACUGGGUGGCUUGAGUUCGGGAGAGGAAUGUGGAAUUCCAGGUGUAGCGGUGAAAUGCGUAGAUAUCGUAAGGAAGACCAGUGGCGAAGGCGGGGUCUCUGGACAGUUCCUGGACGCUGA